GGCAGCUGUCCCUGGCAUGAGGUUUGCUCCCCGACAAGCCCAUGUGAGCACUGGUGGGACUCCAGGCUGUGGAUCCUGUACUGUGUGGGCUAGGUGGAUGACUCACAAAAGCCAGGAUUGUGCCCUGCCAGCAAGCAGCAAAGAGGCAGCUGAUGCCGGCCGGCCGGCUGCCAAGCAGGUCAGGCCUCUGCAGCUGAAACUGCCCGAGAUUCCUAAGCGGGAUGAUGAAUCAGCUGUGUCCUUUAGGACACAUCCUCUCUUGGACAUGUUGCCGGGAUGUCGUGUCUCCCCGCUGCUUCCCCGUGAGAGUGUGCUCGGAGCUGCUGGUUGAUGACACUGGCCGGGUUGAUGAGUUUGCUUUAACUCUUCCUCCUCCCCCUCAUAAACCAGCUUUGCCUCCUGGUGAAGUUAUUGCCCCUUAAGCUGACGAUAGCAGCCCUAGAUGUCUCAGUGGAGGAGGAGUGCCAGGCUCUGAAAGAAAUGAUGCCUUGCUUGUCAUUUGCCUGCUUUUAAAAGUAUAUUAAGACAGCUUUGGCUUGAGUGCCCUGCAGGCAGGAAUUCUGAGCCAGGACAGGCUGGUUUUCACGGUGUCCAUCCCUGUUUCCAAAAAAAAGCCUUGACUCAGGGUUGCUGAGUGCAACUGCUGCAACUGGAGGCUGCUGUACCCAGGCUGCCUCGUGCCUGAUGACUCUCACAGCACAAUAGAUUUUCUUUUUCGAACCUUUAAAAGUUCUUGGGUGUGUUUACAGUUCAAUGCUUGUUCAUCCCUGAGGAGAUUUUGCUGGCUAAAGUCCUCCAAAUGUGGAGGGCUGUCCUGUCACUGUUAAGCACAGGGUAGCUGAAACAAGGUAAUGGUUAUCAGGGAUUGGGGAUGGUGAUUAAGAAGCUGACUAUUGUAUUUAUUACCAUCUCCUCCCACAAGCUCCUGCCUUGCUUGUUUGCCUUCUGAGGCCCGACUGUGCUGCUGUUUAUUGGGAGAGCACUGCUCUUUUCCAAGAUGUUUCGUUUUAAAACCCUCAGAAUGUCCCCAGGGCGUUUGAAAGGGGAUGUGCUGUGUCACGAAAGACAGUGUUCCACAUGGAAGGAUUUUUUUCCCCAAGUGACAGGCUGGUUGAGCUGUAAACAUGCAAAGGAGGAUCACCAUUACAAAUGUGAGAGAGAGCAGAGAAGAGCUGACCCCAGCUCAGGCAAAGAAACAAGAGAGUGUCUGGACUUCCCCAAAUGCAGCGUGGGAAGCCUGGCAGCGCAUGGGACAGAACUCCUCUCAACACUGUCAGGCCACUUGCUCCUCAAAUUCCCCUUCAGGAAGUGGGAUGGUGAGAGGAGAAGAGACUUGGUGCUUCCCAUCCCUGCUGUUGAAUGGAGCCAGGCUUUCUUUGGACUGCAAGUAAAUUCACUGGGCCAGAUGCUCAGGCCAAGCCCCAGGGCUGCUUGUUCCUAG
rnacentral:lncRNA from 1 species